AAUAGAUACCCUGGUAGUCCGCACCGUAAACGAUGGAUACUAGGCGUUCGGAGAGUUAACCCUCUGAGUGCCAAAGUUCACACAUUAAGUAUCCCGCCUGGGAAGUACGGUCGCAAGACUAAAACUCAAAGGAAUUGACGGGGGCCCGCACAAGCGGUGGAGUAUGUGGUUUAAUUCGAAGCAACGCGCAGAACCUUACCUGGCCUUGACAUCGUGAGACCGGUGCAGAGAUGUACCUUUGGCUUCGGCCACUCAUAGACAGGUGCUGCAUGGCUGUCGUCAGCUCGUGUUGUGAAAUGUUCGGUUAAGUCCCGCAACGAGCGCAACCCUUGUCCUAUGUUGCCAGCGGUUCGGCCGGGGACUCAUAGGAGACUGCCGGGGAGUAACUCGGAGGAAGGUGAGGACGACGUCAAGUCAUCAUGCCCCUUAUAUCCAGGGCUGCACGCAUGCUACAAUGGCCGGUACAACGGGCAGCGACCCCGCGAGGGUGAGCGAAUCCUAAAAGCCGGUCCUAGUUCGGAUUGAAGU
rnacentral:rRNA from 1 species